rnacentral:rRNA from 1 species
UACGUAAGUGGCGAGCGUUAUCCGGAAUUACUGGGCGUAAAGCGUGCGUAGGCGGUUUAGUGUGUGGGAUUUGAAAGCCCGGGGCUCGAACUCCGGAUCCGGAUCCCAAACUGCUAGACUCGAGAGUAUCAGAGGAGAGCGGAAUUCCCGGUGUAGCGGUGAAAUGCGUAGAUAUCAGGAGGAACACCGGUGGUGUAGACGGCUUUCUGGACCGUAACUGACGCUGAGACACGAAAGCGUGGGUAGCAAACAGG